ACGCUCGACACCUACGGAGGCAGCAGUGAGGGAUAUUGGUCAAUGGGGGGAACCCUGAACCAGCAACGCCGCGUGAGGGAUGACGGUCUUCGGAUUGUAAACCUCUGUCCUCUGUGAAGAUAAUGACGGUAGCAGAGGAGGAAGCUCCGGCUAACUACGUGCCAGCAGCCGCGGUAAUCUGAGCGGGCUGGCAAGGC
rnacentral:rRNA from 1 species